GGUGACAACAAUCCUGGAGCCACGCUGUGGAGUGAGGAUGAGUGCUCUGAGAAGGUGGCCGCCAAUCAGUGGAGUUCAGAUCUUGCUCCAACACAACAUUCCCUUCACCACGUCCUUGCUUUCUUUGUUGAAGAGCUUGUUGGAGCUUUGAGACUGAGAAAUGCACCUCAUACAUCUUACUUCCUCAUGAGAAUACUGGGAAGCACAAGGUUCCUCUAAAGAAGGAGGGGCUGGAUCUGUGGAUGAGGAUGAUUUUAUUAAGGCAUUUGCAGAUGUUCCUACUGUACAGGUGGAAGCAGCUCUCAAGGAACACAGCAACAUCUACAUGCGGGAAGCAGCUAAGGACCGAGAUCUUUGCAAACAGAGAUGUGCAUAUGGUGAUAUUUGAAAGUCUUGAAACUUCUUGCCUCAACUGGAAGAGAACAGAAACUCAUAAAAAAAUAAAGAUGGAAAAUGCAUCAGUAUCUAUGGAAAGCAAGUUUCAGAAAGAAAGCACCUACCUCACCUACACGAACACACAAAUAAUGUGCCUCAGCCCUCGCCCAGCGGAGAAGCCAAGCACCACGGGAUUUAUCCUACCGACCAGGAGCAGACAAUGGCACUUGGAACCAGCAUGUGUGGGCUGAAUGUUUCAAGAGAAAUUUGUCAAGUAGGUUUGAGUAAUGAAUGUAUCUGAGGAAGCCAUAAUAUAUGAGCAGGAAAAAAAUUUAAAAGGUUUAAAUGCAUUAAAUGAGUUAUCUGCAGCAAAUUAGUCGCACAGCUCUCCUGCCUACAAGUUCCUUUGGUGGGAUUUGUAUAUUCUGGCACAUGAAGCUCCAAGCUCAAUUACAAAUAGCCUCCCCGGCUGCCUCUGCAUCCGACUCCUCCCAGAACUGGGGGCAAGUGUCACUGUCAUUUCACCUGACAGCUUUACUCAGAUCAUAAACACCACCACCCAGCAAUAAAGCCCAAUAAUGAAAAGGCAUUACCACCUAUAAAGGGACCCUGCUGCAGGCUGUUCGCAUACUUGCCAAAUGG